CCUACGGGAGGCAGCAGUGGGGGAUAUUGCACAAUGGGGGGAACCCUGAUGCAGCGACGCCGCGUGGGUGAAGGAGUGCUUCGGCAUGUAAAGCCCUAUCGGCAGGGAAGAAGCAAGACGGUACCUGACUAAGAAGCCCCGGCUAACUACGUGCCAGCAGCCGCGGUAAUACGUAGGGGGCGAGCGUUAUCCGGAUUCACUGGGUGUAAAGGGAGCGUAGACGGCCAUGCAAGCCAGGGGUGAAAUCCGGGGGCUCAACCCCCGAACUGCAUUUGAAACUGUUGGUCUUGAGUAUCGGAGAGGCAGGCGGAAUUCCUAGUGUAGCGGUGAAAUGCGUAGAUAUUAGGAGGAACACCAGUGGCGAAGGCGGCCUACUGGACGACAACUGACGGUGGGGCGCGAAAGCGUGGGGAGCAAACAGGAUUAGAUACCCUAGUAGUC
rnacentral:rRNA from 1 species